rnacentral:rRNA from 1 species
UACGAAGGGGGCUAGCGUUGCUCGGAAUUACUGGGCGUAAAGCGCACGUAGGCGGCUUUCUAAGUCGGGGGUGAAAUCCUGGAGCUCAACUCCAGAACUGCCUUUGAUACUGAAGAUCUUGAGUUCGGGAGAGGUGAGUGGAACUGCGAGUGUAGAGGUGAAAUUCGUAGAUACUCGCAAGAACACCAGUGGCGAAGGCGGCUCACUGGCCCGAUACUGACGCUGAGGCACGAAAGCGUGGGGAGCAAACAGG